rnacentral:rRNA from 1 species
UACGAGGGGGGCAAAUGUUGUUCGGAAUCACUGGGCGUAAAGGGAGCGUAGGCGGGUUUUUAAGUCAGGUGUUUAAUCCCGGGGCCCAACCCCGGACAGGCACUUGAAACUGGGAAUCUUGAAUAGUGGAGAGGUCAGUGGAAUUGGGGGUGUAGCGGUGGAAUGCGUAGAGAUCCGGAGGAAGACCGGUGGCGAAGGCGGCCUGCUGGGCAGUUACUGACACUGAUGCGCGACAGCGUGGGGAGCAAACAGG